rnacentral:rRNA from 1 species
UACGAAGGGUGCAAGCGUUAAUCGGAAUUACUGGGCGUAAAGCGUGCGUAGGCGGUUUCUUAAGUCCGUUGUGAAAGCCCUGGGCUCAACCUGGGAACUGCGAUGGAUACUGAGGAGCUUGAGUGCCGGAGAGGGUGGCGGAAUUCCCCAAGUAGAGGUGAAAUUCGUAGAUAUGGGGAGGAACACCGGUGGCGAAGGCGGCCACCUGGACGGUAACUGACGCUGAGACGCGAAAGCGUGGGGAGCAAACAGG